GAUGAACGCUAGCGGGAGGCCUAACACAUGCAAGCCGAGCGGUAGAGUUUCUUCGGAAACUUGAGAGCGGCGCACGGGUGCGUAACACGUGUGCAACCUACCUUUAUCUGGGGGAUAGCCUUUCGAAAGGAAGAUUAAUACCCCAUAAUAUAAUGAUUGGCAUCAAUUAUUAUUGAAAACUCCGGUGGAUAGAGAUGGGCACGCGCAAGAUUAGAUAGUUGGUGAGGUAACGGCUCACCAAGUCAAUGAUCUUUAGGGGUCCUGAGAGGGAGAUCCCCCACACUGGUACUGAGACACGGACCAGACUCCUACGGGAGGCAGCAGUGAGGAAUAUUGGACAAUGGGUGAGAGCCUGAUCCAGCCAUCCCGCGUGAAGGAUGACGGUCCUAUGGAUUGUAAACUUCUUUUGUACAGGGAUAAACCCACCCUCGUGAGGGUAGCUGAAGGUACUGUACGAAUAAGCACCGGCUAACUCCGUG
rnacentral:rRNA from 1 species